rnacentral:rRNA from 1 species
UACGAGGGGAGCAAGCGUUGUUCGGAUUUACUGGGCGUAAAGGGCGCGUAGGCGGCCACGACAAGUCACUUGUGAAAUCUCCGGGCUUAACUCGGAACGGUCAAGUGAUACUGUCGGGCUAGAGUACAGAAGGGGCAACUGGAAUUCUCGGUGUAGCGGUGAAAUGCGCAGAUAUCGGGAAGAACACCCGUGGCGAAGGCGGCUCUCUGGGACGGUACUGACGCUGAGACGCGAAAAGCGUGGGGAGCGAACAGG